rnacentral:misc_RNA from 1 species
GUAAGCUAAAAGAGUUCUGUUUGUGACUACAAACUUUAACAAGAAACAUAACAAUCAUGUUCCGAAGAACAAACUAAGCCAAAAACCAACAGACCUAGAAAACAAGAAUCUGGGUUUGAAUUAACCAGUAAGCUCAGCUUCCUUGUGUGUCUCAACGACAACAUCAGACUGAGGAAAAGCAACACAAGUGAGAACCCAACCAGCC